rnacentral:rRNA from 1 species
UUUUAACGGAGAGUUUGAUUCUGGCUCAGAACGAACGCUGGCGGCGUGGAUAAGACAUGCAAGUCGGACGAGAUUUUUCGUCGUAGCAAUACGAUGGAAAGUCUAGUGGCGAACGGGUGCUUAACACGUGGGCAAUCUGUCUUAAAGUGGGGGAUAGCUCGGCGAAAGCCGAAUUAAUACCGCAUGUGAUUAGAGUGGACAUCCAUUCAAAAUUAAAGGUGGCGCAAGCUACCGCUUUUUGAGGAGCCCGCGGCCU